rnacentral:rRNA from 1 species
AUUGAACGCUGGCGGCAUGCUUUACACAUGCAAGUCGAACGGUAACAGGCCGCAAGGUGCUGACGAGUGGCGAACGGGUGAGUAAUGCAUCGGAACGUGCCCAGUCGUGGGGGAUAACGCAGCGAAAGCUGUGCUAAUACCGCAUACGAUCUAUGGAUGAAAGCGGGGGACCGUAAGGCCUCGCGCGAUUGGAGCGGCCGAUGUCAGAUUAGGUAGUUGGUGGGGUAAAGGCCCACCAAGCCAACGAUCUGUAGCUGGUCUGAGAGGACGACCAGCCAAACUGGGACUGAGACACGGCCCAGACUCCUACGGGAGGCAGCAGUGGGGAAUUUUGGACAAUGGGCGCAAGCCUGAUCCAGCAAUGCCGCGUGCAGGAAGAAGGCCUUCGGGUUGUAAACUGCUUUUGUACGGAACGAAACGGUCUGGGUUAAUACCCUGGGCUAAUGACGGUACCGUAAGAAUAAGCACCGGCUAACUACGUGCCAGCAGCCGCCGUAACAC